rnacentral:rRNA from 1 species
UUCCGGUUGAUCCUGCCAGAGGUUACUGCUAUCGGAGUUCGAUUAAGCCAUGCGAGUCUAAAGGUUUCUUCGGAAACCUUGGCGGACUGCUCAGUAACACGUGGAUAACCUACCCUUGGGACUGGAAUAACCCCGGGAAACUGGGGAUAAUACCGGAUAGAUCAGGGAUGCUGGAAUGCACCUUGAUCCAAAGCUCCGGCGCCCAAGGAUGGGUCUGCGGCCUAUCAGGUAGUAGUGGGUGUAACGUACCUACUAGCCAACGACGGGUACGGGUUGUGAGAGCAAGAGCCCGGAGAUGGAUUCUGAGACACGAAUCCAGGCCCUACGGGGUGCAGCAGGCGCGAAACCUUUACAAUGUGCGAAAGCAUGAUAAGGGAACUCCGAGUGCCAGUAUCUAAUACUGGCUGUCCUUGUGCCUAAAACGCACAAGAUAGCAAGGGCCGGGUAAGACCGGUGCCAGCCGCCGCGGUAACACCGGCGGCCCGAGUGGUAGCCGCUAUUAUUGGGUCUAAAGGGUCCGUAGCCGGUUCGAUAAGUCCUCUGGGAAAUCUGGUUGCUUAACAAUCAGACUGCCAAGGGAUACUGUCGAACUUGAGACCGGGAGAGGUAAGAGGUACUUCAGGGGUAGGAGUGAAAUCUUGUAAUCCCUGGGGGACCAUCUGUGGCGAAGGCGUCUUACCAGAACGGGUCUGACGGUGAGGGACGAAAGCUGGGGGCGCAAACCGGAUUAGAUACCCGGGUAGUCCCAGCCGUAAACGAUGCUCGCUAUGUGACAGGUACGGUGUGACCGUAUCUGGUGCCGUAGGGAAGCCGUGAAGCGAGCCACCUGGGAAGUACGGUCGCAAGACUGAAACUUAAAGGAAUUGGCGGGGGGGCACUACAACGGGUGGAGCCUGCGGUUUAAUUGGAUUCAACGCCGGGAA